AUGGUGAGGAAUGCCAGCCCCCUGCAUCCGGACCAGACCAGCCUAGCUGCUGGACCCCUGAGGACAGCACCACUGGGAUCCCACUUAAGCCUGUACCCACAGCACCAGGAAUUUUGCCAGAUGGGAAGAG